UCUAUUUUUUAAUUCCAGAGUGAAGAGGCAUAUGAGUGGAACCGCCAAAGCCAACUGACCCAAUUUUAGGCGCAACUUUCUCUUUCUUCCUCUGCAAACAAAAUGCGUACCAGGAAGAAAUCAUCAUCAGGCACGGACACUUCAACAAGACCUAUACGUGAUUCUGAAAGCAGAAGCUCUUUAGAGAUUCUCAAUGACAAUGGAACUCUUGCUGAAAAAUCACAGGACGCUGUUGGCAGGCUUCUGAGACGUUCCAACAAACGAGGCUCCAGGGGAACAAAGAAAAAUGAUAAUAAUCUACAGCAAUGUGAUUUAAGUAGCACGCAAGGAAGUGGGUCCAAAAAAGAUGGCAAGCAAGAUAUAGAUUCGAGCGUCAAAUCAGCUGUUUUGGAGGCUGAUGGUUGUUGUAGAGAUACAUCUGGCAACACGGAAUAUAAAGUUGAUGAGGAAAGUUUACAAUGCACUCUUUCAGAAAACAGGGCAGAAAUAGAUGAUUUAGAUUGGGAAGAUGGAUCAAUUCCGACAUUUGAUCCUGCAAGUAAUCACGAAGUGACCAUUGAAUUUAACGAGACACCAGAUUCUGUGAGGCGGAAACCUAUUCACAGAGUUACUGCAGAAGAUAAGGAAAUUGCUGAGAUUGUUCAUAAGGUUCAUUUACUUUGCUUACUUGGACGGGGAAGAUUGAUUGACCGAGCUUGUGAUGAUUCUCUUAUUCAGGCCGCUUUACUUUCUCUUCUUCCUAAGCACUUGCUGAAUAUAUCAACGGUUGCAAAAUUAACUGCAAAGGAUUUGCAUCCUCUUAUCCUUUGGUUUCGAGAUAAUUUUCAUGUUAGAAGUUUAACUGAUGUGAAAAUCUCAUUUCAUUCGGCUCUGGCAUUUGCUCUUGAAACUCGUGAAGGGACUUCAGAAGAGAUUGCUGCGUUGUCAGUGGCAUUGUUUAGAGCUUUGAAUCUUACAUCCAGGUUUGUGUCCAUUUUGGAUGUCACCUCCUUAAAACCAGAUGGAGAAAAGUCUGAUUAUUUUAGUCACGAUUCAAGCAGAUCAUGUAAGGGUAUCUUCAGUAAUUCAACUCCAAUGGUUGCUAGACAAAGUGAGGUGUCUGCAUCUCCUGGCAAAUCAUUUUCACCCAGUCAGAGCGUGUAUGAAACUUCACAAAGGAGUUCACGCAGAACUAAGAACUGCUACUUAACAAGCAACACUCAACCCCAAAACUUUCCCACUAAUUAUGACUUGAACAAUAAACAUGUGUCACGUGAUUGUUCAUUAGCUUGUGAGUCGAAGCGUGAUUCUUCUGAGGCAUGUCCUGCCCAAAAAUCUCAAGGAUCAAAGAGAAAAGGGGAUCUUGAGUUUGAGUUGCAGAUGGAAAUGGCUCUUUCUUCAACAGCAGUUGGAGCUGCAGAUACUAAAAUACAUUCACUUACGAACAAUGUAGACAAUAAUUUGUCUACUUUCUCUUCACUUUCCAAGAGAAGGAAAAAAAUUGUUUGUGAAGAAUCAUGUUCCAAUGUAAUAUCCACUGCAAUUGGAUCGAAAAGAGUGGGGUCUCCUCUGUAUUGGGCAGAAGUACACUGCAAUGGAGAGAACUUGACUGGAAAGUGGGUGCAUGUUGAUGCUAUUAAUGCUAUUAUUGAUGGAGAGCAGAAGGUUGAAGCUAUAGCUGCUGCAUGCAAAACAUCUUUGAGAUAUGCAGUUGCCUUUGCAGGGAAUGGUGCUAAAGAUGUGACACGAAGGUAUUGUAUGCAGUGGUACAAGAUAGCAUCAAAACGAGUCAACUCAAUUUGGUGGGAUGCAGUCUUGGCACCGCUGAGAGAUAUCGAGUCAAGAGCAACCUGUGGCAUGGUCCAUUUAAAAAAUGACCACGAAGAUGCCUCAUUUAAUCCUGAUAAUUCAGUGAGAAUUUCAGAAAAUCUGAACAAUGAAAAUUUUCCCAACAAUCCUGUCUUGCUUGGGAAGUCUGGCCUUGAAGUCUCAAAAGAUUGUGGUGAGAAAACUGGUGCGGAAUCUUCUUUGAGAAAUUCUGUGAAUGCUUCAAGAAGCUCUCUUGAGGACAUGGAGUUGGAAACCAGAGCUUUGACUGAGCCACUUCCGACAAAUCAACAGGCAUAUAAAAAUCACCACCUAUAUGCUAUUGAAAAAUGGCUUAACAAGUAUCAGGUACUUCAUCCAAAGGGUCCCAUUCUUGGUUUUUGUUCUGGUCAUCCAGUCUAUCCUCGAGCAUGUGUUCAAACACUCAAAACGAAAGACAGAUGGCUGCGAGACGCAUUGCAAGUUAAAGUCAAAGAACUCCCUGUAAAGGAAUUGAAAUAUUCUAGGAAGCUUCAAAAAGUAAAAUCUUUUGAAGAUGAUGAUUGUGCCAGGGAUAACUCUGAAGGAACACUCCAACUGUAUGGAAAAUGGCAACUGGAACCAUUACAGUUGCCACAUGCUGUUAAUGGAUUAGUGCCAAAGAAUGAACGUGGUCAAGUGGAGGUGUGGUCUGAGAAGUGCCUCCCACCAGGAACUGUGCAUUUAAGGUUGCCAAGAGUAUUUUCCAUUGCCAGGGAGCUGGAAAUCGAUUAUGCACCUGCAAUGGUUGGCUUUGAAUUCAGAAAUGGUCAAUCUUAUCCUGUCUUUGAUGGUAUUGUAGUUUGUGCCGAGUUCAGGGAUGUGAUGCUAGAGGCAUACAGGGAAGAACAAGGAAGAAAAGAGGCUGAAGAGAAGAAAAGGAAUGAAAGGGAGGCAAUAUCUCACUGGUAUCAGCUUCUGUCAUCCAUUGUUACUCGGAAAAGGAUCAAGGACCGUUAUGGGAAAAGUUUGUCGUCACAGGCUUCCAUAGACAUCCAAACCACGAGUAAUAUCUCAAAUGUGCAUGUCAGUGCAAAUCAGGAUGUUAACCACUCUGUUAGAUGCCAGCAAGGAGACGUGGACAUGAAAAUGUCAGAUACUCCAUCCAUCGAUUUGCCAAAAGAACACCAACAUGUAUUCUUGACAGAAGACCAAUGUUUUGAUGAGGAGAAUUUGGUACUUAUUAAAAGAUGCCAUUGUGGAUUUUCAAUUGAAGUGGAGGAAUUAUAACAUCAGCAAUGAACCAACCACAUGAGGACUACUGAGUUUGACGUGAUAAUUAUAGUGUGAAGAGAGUAUAAAUUCCGUGUUGUAUACUGUUUCAGAAUCCUUUUUGUAUGCUAGUAAGAGGAGCACAAAUCCUGCUGAGAUCAGAUUUUGAAACAAAACAGGCUUGGACAGCUUCAUGCUUGUGGAAAAAUCUCAUGUACAACAAAAUAUAAGAAAAGGAAUGCUAGACGAUUGAAGCUGUUCCAACAGAAAUAAGUCCUAGAUUUGCCCAAAAGUUAGAACUCACUAACAUCCUUGCCGUAGAAAAACCAAUGCGUGGUUAAAUUCUGAAACCCGCAUUUUAGAAGCAAUUUACUUUAAUUUAUAGACAAUUUUUUUUUGGUUACAAAAGAGUAGAAAUAAAGAAUGAAGGAAGAAGCUUUUCCUCUCGUACGAAGGAUAAUGACUAUACCCGAUGCUGAUAUAUAAAAUAAUUAUAAAAAAGUUCUUCAGAAAAAAAUCACUCAUUAAUUAAAUAAAUAUUCAUAUUUGAAUUUUUUUUAAAAAUAGCCCAACACACUUUCUUAAUACUAGGUAAAAAUUAGGCCAAAUGCCCUGUUUUAGAGAGUGAUAUCUAUUUUCACCUACGUUUUAAAUUUUUUUGAUUUGUACCCAGUUUUUUAAUUACUCUUCCCAUAAUACCCUUUUAAAGUCUAUUCUCCCCUUCUUCUCACGAUUCCCCCCACCUUCUCUCCAUUCCGACUUUCGAGCUUCCCCAACACCACCUUCGAGAUUCCCCUGUCUUCGACAAGCUUCCCCACCACCACCUUUGUGCUUCCCCUGUCUUCGGCAUUGGCGAUUAUUCGGCAACCGCGCAAGUAUUUCGGCGGUGACGGCGACUCCAUCGAACCAGACUGCAGCGCGAUUCUUCCCCCACGACAGAGCCAUACUCCCGAUUGUUCCAUUGACAAACUCCAAACCCUAUAUUGAAGCAGACUAUUGUUUCUUUUUCUUCCCCAACGACAGAGCUGACUUUCGAUUUCCAAGCCAUUUUGGAAGCUUGCUUUCUUGUAGUGAGGUAAAGGCAAGGGCAAGCUGGACCAAGCCUGAGGUGGAGAGCUCCAAAGUGAAAUGUACAUAGCCAGCGGUUCGACCGCCACGAUCGAGAAGUGGACCAGGACAGGGAUCACCUAACUGCUUAUUUUGCCUUAGUAUGGCCGGUUGUUGUACAUGAGCUUUGUGUCUUUUGUAAAUGGUCUUUAAACUCACUAUUUUUGGGAUCCCAUGUAACAGAUAAUACUUCUUAAUGAAAAUGUGGCUUUUGAGACCAAAACACUUUUAACCCUAGUUCCUUUAUAGUUUCGAUAACACAAUUUUUAUUUAAAUGACUUGAUUAGCAAGUCUGGCACUUUAUAAAUACACAGUGUAACAGUCUUGGCUAUCCAGGGCGUUACAACUUGGUAUCAGAGUGUCCUAGGUUUAUGGGUCUUGAAGACUGGCUGGGUAUGUACAUUCGCUGCGGGAGACAAGCUCAACUCAGGGUUUGGUAAUUGUGUAUGCGUGAUUAUGUGCUUAACUGAUUUGAGUGAGAUAUGAUUGUUGAUAUCUGCUUGAUGAAUAGGGAGCAUGAGAUACUGAUAGGGCCUGGCCCUUGACUAUUGCAUGAUGUUGUUGAGGCGUGCUUAUUAGCAUUGCUGUGCAUGUGGAUGAAUAACUGGAUAAAUUUCUAUACUUUUAUUGCUUGUGAAUGCGUGGAGUUUCAGUGAUGGAUUAUGGAAAGAUUAUUACCCUGUCAUCAUAGCCUAAUUGCCGAGUCGUUGAUUGCAGAUUGACUUGAAUAGUUAUGCGUUCAAGGAAAUCCACACGACUAGCCGGCAGGUCAGGGGCUAGAGAUGAUGACCAGGGCCCGACCCCUCCUCCAGUCCCUGAAAACUGGCAGUAGUUAAUGGCAGAAAUGCAAGCUAGGCUUCAGAGCCAAGACGAGCAGAUCCGAAUUCUGCAGCAGGCUCCAUCUGGGAGUGUUGCCCCUGUUGUGCCACCGGCACUAGUACUUGUGGUACAGCCAGUUGAUGUUGGGAACAAGAUGGAACCAUUGUAUGAGCGGUUCAGGAAGCAACAGCCCCCGACCUUUGAGGGUGGACCAGAUCCAUUGAAAGCUGAACAGUGGAUGACUUUGAUCACUACCAUUCUGGAUUUUAUGAGAGUGGAAGGACAUGACAGGGUGGACUGUGCCACUUAUAUGUUGAGGGAUGAUGCUCGAAUCUGGUAGGAGGUGGCAUCACAGAUUAGAGAGGUGGCUACAUUGACUUGGGAAGGGUUUAAGGAUUUGUUCAAUCAGAAGUAUUAUAAUGUUGCCAUCAGGGCAGCGAAAGUGAAUGAGUUCGUGGGGCUGGUAUAGGGCAGUAUGACAGUGACAGAAUACGCCUUGAAGUUUGACAGACUUGCGAAGUUCGCACCAGAUCUUGUGCCUAUUGAUGCAGCCAGGCUGGAUAGAUUUGUUAGAGGGCUGAAUGUUAUGAUAGCCCGAGAUGUAAGAAUUACCAUAGUUCCUGGAGUGACUACUUAUGCCCAGGCCGUGGAGAGGGCUUUGACCGCUGAGGAAGCGGAGAAUAGGAUAUGGAGGGAUAGUGCAGCUAGAAGGGAGGGUCGCAGGGCGGUGCCUCCACACUCUGGUUCUAGUAGGGGCGGAGGCUCCAGUGAUUUGAAAAGAAAGACUCCUGAUGCUCCAAUCGCUCCUAGGUUUGAUAGAGGAGGUCGGGGUACUCAGGGUGGCCGUCAGUGUAACGCCCUACUACCUUAGAGCCGUUACUUAGUGAGUUUAAAAAUAGAAAUCGUGCUCUUGACUGACUCUAAGUGGUUUCUAAAACCAAAAGUGUGAAUAAAUCAGAAUUUAAGGCUGUACUCUUUGAAAAUGUUUAGUUUCAUUGAAAACGUUAAGUAUCAAACAUUUGGGAUCCCAAAAUAAGGUUUACAAAAUAUUUACAACUCAAAAAUAGAUUUACACCAGGUUAACUAUCAAAAGAAUAGAUUAAUACAGCCAUUUACAAAAUGCCCCCAACCAAAGCAGUCGGGCAGGCCGAACAUGUACGCGCCGCCCCCACGCUCUCCAUACUCAUGGCCGGUUGACUGACUCCUUUCUUUUACCUGCCACACGGAGCACCCGUGAGCCGAAGCCCAGCAAGAAAACCCAAAUAGUACAUAACAUAUGCAAAUAAUAUAGCUGGCAUAAUUCACUGAUAAAUAGGAAAACCAUCAGAUUAAACAAGCACGGCCAUGCCGCCCCAGAGGCCUUACCAAAGCUUGGGGUCUCGGUCCUCACCGUAGGAUAACUCAUGUAUCCCUUGGGUCCCACCCUGGCUAUAACAUCCCAUGUGCUGAGCGUUACUUCCGGCCCCACGGCCGUACCCGGCCUUCGCCGCUCUCGGCCUUAGCCGUUCAUUCCAUUAUAAUCACACAUAUAAUGCAUUAUGAAAUAACCAUUCAAACAUACAAUAGUUCAUUUAAGAUUACACAUUUGCACACAAUACAAUCUAGGGCCGUGCCCUGCAAUCACACAGUGGGCCCAUGCCCUAUUCUCGGGUGUUCCGGUUUUCUUACCUUUAGAUUCGGUAGCCUUGAUCACCUGACUCCUUGAGCACGAUCCUACCCGAGCCCUAGCGCUUACCUAAGCAAAAUUCACAAGUCAAAGUCAUCACCAACCUCAAGUCCAAAACCUAGCCUCGAGACUAAUCCCGAGCCCCCGGGAAGUCCUAGACCCCCAAAACAAAGUGGCGGAAAUGAGCCCCGAACCCUAGGUCAAAUCCCUUCAUAAAAGCCCAAAAAUCCCCUCUGUGAACAGUGCAGCGCUACAGUGCUCAAAAGAGGGCGCUGUAGCGCUACAAGCAGAACCACCCCACCAGAAGAGGGGCUAGCGCUACAGCGCCCCCUGACUAGCGCUGUAGCGCUAGUUGCAGCCAGACCAAACCCAAAAACACACAUAACCACACCUCACACUCAUCCCUAGCAUCCCAUGAACUCAAUCCCAAGCUCAAGCAACCCAAAACUCAAAAUCUAACACAAUGAACCCAAAAACCAGAAAAUUCACUCAAACAACAAGGAUAGGGUCUUAGAAAUCAUACCGUGGGUGGAAUUUCGACCUUGAAUUGAACCCUAGACCUCCUUGGCUUGCACCUUCACAACCUUGACCUGUUUUCCCCAAAAACCCCAUCCAUUUAGCUCAAAAACACAAUCCAAACCAGUCAAGCCCUAAAACAGAAAAUCCCCAAGAACUUACCUCAAUUUCUGAUGUGAUCUUGCUAACCCCUUGCCAAUCCUCAAGCCUAGCUUAGGAUCCUUGAUGCUCAGCCUACCCUAGCUCUCCACUGAGCUUGACUCCAAGAAAAUGAAGGAAAUUGGUUGGGAGAGCCACAAACCGUUCUUUUGGAGCAAAAACCCUUCAGCUUUCCCUCUCUUCUCUUUUCUCUUCUUUCUUUCUUUUCAGCCUAUAACUUUUCUCUACUAAAUCCACUAAGUAUAAAGCCCUUCUUUAAUUUAUCUCUUACAAGCCUAAUGACCAAAAUGCCCUCCCUUGCUAAUUCUAAACCUUUAUGUCCAUAAAGGGGCAUUUUAGUCAUAUUACCCAAAUUCCACUAAUUCCUCAAGUGUUCCUAAUAAUUCCCGCUCGCUACCCAAUACCUGGUUAAUCGUCAAAUAUACAUUCCUCAUCAUCAAGAUUCCAAAUUCUCAUUAAAACUCCCCAGGCUUAACCCAAGUCGGGUAUAGAUUCCCGCUUUGACUUUUCCGCUAUCCCGCUCACUCUAGGAUCGUCUCGAGUCAUGGAUCACCGAUAUCAACACAAAACAUGCCCAAAAUGGCCAGAUUACUAUUAUGCUCUUUUUAAGACAAUCAGGUCUACAUGCAUACUAAUUCACAUAGUCAUGCAUCACAAAUAAUCAAAUAUUCAUAUAACGUGCAUUAAAUCAUAAUCAUGCAUUAAACUCAUAAAAGUCACACACAGAAUCCCAUUAUGCCCUCCAGGCACACUACUCCAGGCCCUUAAGCCUUAAUAGCGAAUUUGGGGUCAUUACAGUCAGGGAGGCGGUGAUUCGUGGAGGACUUAUCCAGAGUGCACAAGGUGCAGGAGACGCCAUCCGGGCGAAUGUCGGGCUAAGGCCUGCUAUGUGUGUGGGGUGGUGGGACACCUCAGGAAGGACUGCCCGACAGUGAAGAAGGGAGAGACAGGAAAGGUGGACAGCUUGACUCCAGCUCGAGUGUUCACCCUGGCGCAGACGUAGGCCGAGGCUAGUCCCUCGGUAGUGACAGGUAAAGGCAAGGGCAAGCUGGACCAAGCCUGAGGUGGAGAGCUCCGAAGUGAAAUGUACAUAGCCAGCGGUUCGACCGCCACGGUCGAGAAGUGGACCAGGACAGGGAUCACCUAACUGCUUAUUUUUCCUUAGUAUGGCCGGUUGUUGUACAUGAACUUUGUGUCUUUUGUAAAUGGUCUUUGAACUCACUAUUUUUGGGAUCCCAUGUAACAGAUAAUACUUCUUAAUGAAAAUGUGGCUUUUGAGACCAAAACA